rnacentral:rRNA from 1 species
AUUGAACGCUGGCGGCAUGCUUUACACAUGCAAGUCGAGCGAGUGGCGGACGGGUGAGUAAUGUAUUGGGAUCUGCCCUAUAGAGGGGGAUAACUACUGGAAACGGUGGCUAAUACCGCAUACUAUUGGAUCAACCCAUAUGGGAUUAGCUAGUAGGUGGGGUAAAGGCUAACCUAGGCGACGAUCGCUAGCUGGUCUGAGAGGAUGAUCAGCCACACUGGGACUGAGACACGGCCCAGACUCCGACGGGAGGCAGCAGUGGGGAAUUUUGCACAAUGGGCGCAAGCCUGAUGCAGCCAUGCCGCGUGUAUGAAGAAGGCCUUAGGGUUGUAAAGUACUUUCGGUAGGGAAGCGGUACCCGCAGAAGAAGCACCGGCUAACUACGUGCCAGCAGCCGCGGUAAUUC